rnacentral:SRP_RNA from 1 species
CCGCACUAGUCGGGGAGUCAGCGGUGCCCUGUACCUGCAACCCGCUAUAGCAGGGAUGAAAUCCCACCCCCGGUCUUGCUUUGUGCUGUCUGACCGAUGUAAGCAGCGAUGAGGAACCGGUCUUGCGCAACGAAAAUCUGCGAACCAUGUCAGGCGGGAGACCGAGCAGCAUUAAACAGACCAUUUCGUGUGCCGCGAGGCAGCCGAUUCUGAGCCGGCUGCACCGGUAACGGGCAUAAGGCAAUUUCCAAAGGUGGGUGUGCGG